rnacentral:rRNA from 2 species
GCUAUAAAAUGUUAUUUAUAGUGAAACCUGGUCAGUGAUAUUUUAAACACAUGCCUUAAAAUGAGGGUAAUAAUGUAGCGUAAUAAUUUGACAUUUAAUUGGUGUAUUGUAUGAAUGGUUAAAUGAUUUUAUAAUUGUCUCAAAUAUAUAUAAUUAGAAAUUAGAAUAUUUAUGCUAAUAUAAAUAUAAUAAUAUAAGACGAAAAGACCCCAUAAACCUUUACAAUUAUUUAUAAUUGUUUAGCUGGGACGGCUGCUUUUUAAAAGAACAAAAGUUAUUAAAUAUAUUUUCAAAUAUGAAUUCAUUUGACCAUUUCAAUAUAUUGAAAUAUAAAAGAUAAAAGGUACUUUGGGGGUAACAGUGUAAUUUAGAUAUGAAGAUGUUAUUUAUGUUUAAGAUUACUACCUCGAUGUUGAAUUGAGAUUACCAAUAUAAUGCAGAAGUUUAUAUGGUUGGAUUGUUCAUCCAAUAAUAU